rnacentral:rRNA from 1 species
AGAGUUUGAUCAUGGCUCAGAAUCAACGCUGGCGGCGCGCCUAACACAUGCAAGUCGAACGAGAAAGUGGAGCAAUCCAUGAGUAAAGUGGCGUACGGGUGAGUAACACGUGGGUGAUCUACCUCUUAGUGAGGAAUAACCCUGGGAAACCGGGGCUAAUACCGCAUAAGCCUUAGCAGGGAAAGUCGAAAGACGCUGAGAGAGGAGCCCGCGGCCGAUUAGCUAGUUGGUGAGGUAAGAGCCCACCAAGGCAGAGAUCGGUAGCCGGCCUGAGAGGGCACACGGCCACACUGGCACUGAAACACGGGCCAGACUCCUACGGGAGGCAGCAGUGGGGAAUCUUGCACAAUGGGGGAAACCCUGAUGCAGCGACGCCGCGUGAGCGAUGAAGCCCUUCGGGGUGUAAAGCUCUUUCGUCAGGGAAGAUAGUGACGGUACCUGGAGAAGCAGCUGCGGCUAACUACGUGCCAGCAGCCGCGGUAAUACGUAGGCAGCAAGCGUUGUUCGGAGUUACUGGGCGUAAAGGGUGUGUAGGCGGUUCUUUAAGUUUGGUGUGAAAUCUCCCGGCUCAACCGGGAGGGUGCGCCGAAUACUGAGGGACUCGAGUGCGGGAGAGGAAAGUGGAAUUCCUGGUGUAGCGGUGAAAUGCGUAGGUAUCAGGAGGAACACCGGUGGUGUAGACGGCUUUCUGGACCGUAACUGACGCUGAGACACGAAAGCGUGGGUAGCAAACAGGAUUAGAUACCCUAGUAGUCC